rnacentral:lncRNA from 1 species
AUCAAUAUGUCGUGCUUGCAGACGACAUAGCAAUAGGUGACGCUCCUCACCUAGUGAAGGACUUUUGGCCCGCUGAUCUCUAUAUUUGAUAAUGGCCGAGGUUGCUCAUACGAAGUGGAUGUUUCAUGACUCCCUAGGCUCAACCCAAUGUUUGGUCCCGAAGAAGAGAUUUGCCUUUGAUUAACCAUGUUGGGAGCAAUUGGAGGAGGAAUAGGCAAUUGUUUCCUUAAGUGUUGAAUCCAUCUAUUUCAAUUGCAAACUGUGUACUAUUAGCAUAUAGCGCAUUAAAUAAAUUAAAUUGCAAAAUAAUAUGCUCUCCUUUCUCCAAAUAAUUAAACAAAUAAAAUUUAAAAAGAAGGUGUGAUUUCUACCUAAUUAAUCAAGAACUUGUAGCACCGGGGAUCUCCAUAACUGAUAAUGAACGAGGCAGCUCAUAUGAAAUGGAUGCUUCAUAACUCCCAAGACUCAACGCAAAGUUUGGUCGCGUAGAAGAGAUUGGCCUUUGAUUUGGGAGUAAUUGGAGGAGGAGGAACAGGCAAUUGUGUUGUUAACUGUUCAAUCCAUCUAUUUUCA